ACCUGGGUAGCUCAAUUGGUUAGAGCGUGAGACUCUUAAUCUCAAGGCUGGGGGUUCGAGACCCCCCUCGGGUG